GACGAACGCUGGCGGCGUGCUUAACACAUGCGAGUCGAACGCUGAAGCUCAGCUUUUGUUGGGUGGAUGAGUGGCGAACGGGUGAGUAACACGUGAGUAACCUGCCCCCUUCUUUGGGAUAACGCCCGGAAACGGGUGCUAAUACUGGAUAUUCACUGGUCUUCGCAUGGGGGUUGGUGGAAAGGGUUUUUCUGGUGGGGGAUGGGCUCGCGGCCUAUCAGCUUGUUGGUGGGUGAUGGCCUACCAAGGCUUUGACGGGUAGCCGGCCUGAGAGGGUGACCGGUCACAUUGGGACGGAGAUACGGCCCAGACUCCUACGGGAGGCAGCAGUGGGGAAUAUUGCACAAUGGGCGCAAGCCUGAUGCAGCGACGCCGCGUGAGGGAUGGAGGCCUUCGGGUUGUGAACCUCUUUCGCUCAUGGUCAAGCCGCAACAAUGGUUGUGGUGAGGGUAGUGGGUAAAGAAGCGCCGGCUAACUACGUG
rnacentral:rRNA from 1 species